UGUGGAUCCCCGCCUGGAGCGGCGACGGCUUCCCUUGCAUUCCUCUUCAGUCGUUGGCCCAAGAGCUGCGUGACCAGCCUUGGCCGCCCGUGGGUUUCCUGUAUUGCAUACCUACCCGAAGGAAUUCGUACGUCACAACGACCCACGUUCUCCCAGCGCUGCGCCCGCUUCCGUGGUCGCGGCGUGGGGUGAACCGCGAAGGCGAGUUCGUGUUCCGAGCUGCAUCCGUGCGAUGCGUCGUCCCGGCCCACGAGCUGCUGCCUGAGCUCCCGGACGCAGUGCACCAGGAGGGCAGGGGGUGCUCGGCCACCUCCGUCUGCCCGAACUCGGCGAUCCAUCGCCCGCACCGAACGACUGCCGUUCGUCGCCUCGGAGGACGCCGCAUCCCUCGGGCCUGUCGGCCUCGUGCGACGCCGGCGUCAGUUAGGAAUGCUACCUGGUUGAAUCCUG
rnacentral:misc_RNA from 1 species